rnacentral:rRNA from 1 species
UUAAGCGACUAAGCGUACACGGUGGAUGCCCUGGCAGUCAGAGGCGAUGAAGGACGUGCUAAUCUGCGAUAAGCGUCGGUAAGGUGAUAUGAACCGUUAUAACCGGCGAUUUCCGAAUGGGGAAACCCAGUGUGUUUCGACACACUAUCAUUAACUGAAUCCAUAGGUUAAUGAGGCGAACCGGGGGAACUGAAACAUCUAAGUACCCCGAGGAAAAGAAAUCAACCGAGAUUCCCCCAGUAGCGGCGAGCGAACGGGGAGCAGCCCAGAGCCUGAAUCAGUGUGUGUGUUAGUGGAAGCGUCUGGAAAGGCGCGCGAUACAGGGUGACAGCCCCGUACACAAAAAUGCACAUGCUGUGAGCUCGAUGAGUAGGGCGGGACACGUGGUAUCCUGUCUGAAUAUGGGGGGACCAUCCUCCAAGGCUAAAUACUCCUGACUGACCGAUAGUGAACCAGUACCGUGAGGGAAAGGCGAAAAGAACCCGGCGAGGGAGUGAAAAAGAACCUGAAACCGUGUACGUACAAGCAGUGGGAGCCUCUUUAUGGGGUGACUGCGUACCUUUUGUAUAAUGGGUCAGCGACUUAUAUUCUGUAGCAAGGUUAACCGAAUAGGGGAGCCGAAGGGAAACCGAGUCUUAACUGGGCGUUAAGUUGCAGGGUAUAGACCCGAAACCCGGUGAUCUAGCCAUGGGCAGGUUGAAGGUUGGGUAACACUAACUGGAGGACCGAACCGACUAAUGUUGAAAAAUUAGCGGAUGACUUGUGGCUGGGGGUGAAAGGCCAAUCAAACCGGGAGAUAGCUGGUUCUCCCCGAAAGCUAUUUAGGUAGCGCCUCGUGAAUUCAUCUCCGGGGGUAGAGCACUGUUUCGGCAAGGGGGUCAUCCCGACUUACCAACCCGAUGCAAACUGCGAAUACCGGAGAAUGUUAUCACGGGAGACACACGGCGGGUGCUAACGUCCGUCGUGAAGAGGGAAACAACCCAGACCGCCAGCUAAGGUCCCAAAGUCAUGGUUAAGUGGGAAACGAUGUGGGAAGGCCCAGACAGCCAGGAUGUUGGCUUAGAAGCAGCCAUCAUUUAAAGAAAGCGUAAUAGCUCACUGGUCGAGUCGGCCUGCGCGGAAGAUGUAACGGGGCUAAACCAUGCACCGAAGCUGCGGCAGCGACACUAUGUGUUGUUGGGUAGGGGAGCGUUCUGUAAGCCUGCGAAGGUGUACUGUGAGGUAUGCUGGAGGUAUCAGAAGUGCGAAUGCUGACAUAAGUAACGAUAAAGCGGGUGAAAAGCCCGCUCGCCGGAAGACCAAGGGUUCCUGUCCAACGUUAAUCGGGGCAGGGUGAGUCGACCCCUAAGGCGAGGCCGAAAGGCGUAGUCGAUGGGAAACAGGUUAAUAUUCCUGUACUUGGUGUUACUGCGAAGGGGGGACGGAGAAGGCUAUGUUGGCCGGGCGACGGUUGUCCCGGUUUAAGCGUGUAGGCUGGUUUUCCAGGCAAAUCCGGAAAAUCAAGGCUGAGGCGUGAUGACGAGGCACUACGGUGCUGAAGCAACAAAUGCCCUGCUUCCAGGAAAAGCCUCUAAGCAUCAGGUAACAUCAAAUCGUACCCCAAACCGACACAGGUGGUCAGGUAGAGAAUACCAAGGCGCUUGAGAGAACUCGGGUGAAGGAACUAGGCAAAAUGGUGCCGUAACUUCGGGAGAAGGCACGCUGAUAUGUAGGUGAAGCGACUUGCUCGUGGAGCUGAAAUCAGUCGAAGAUACCAGCUGGCUGCAACUGUUUAUUAAAAACACAGCACUGUGCAAACACGAAAGUGGACGUAUACGGUGUGACGCCUGCCCGGUGCCGGAAGGUUAAUUGAUGGGGUUAGCGGUAACGCGAAGCUCUUGAUCGAAGCCCCGGUAAACGGCGGCCGUAACUAUAACGGUCCUAAGGUAGCGAAAUUCCUUGUCGGGUAAGUUCCGACCUGCACGAAUGGCGUAAUGAUGGCCAGGCUGUCUCCACCCGAGACUCAGUGAAAUUGAACUCGCUGUGAAGAUGCAGUGUACCCGCGGCAAGACGGAAAGACCCCGUGAACCUUUACUAUAGCUUGACACUGAACAUUGAGCCUUGAUGUGUAGGAUAGGUGGGAGGCUUUGAAGUGUAGACGCCAGUCUGCAUGGAGCCGGCCUUGAAAUACCACCCUUUAAUGUUUGAUGUUCUAACGUUGGCCCGUAAUCCGGGUUGCGGACAGUGUCUGGUGGGUAGUUUGACUGGGGCGGUCUCCUCCUAAAGAGUAACGGAGGAGCACGAAGGUUGGCUAAUCCUGGUCGGACAUCAGGAGGUUAGUGCAAUGGCAUAAGCCAGCUUGACUGCGAGCGUGACGGCGCGAGCAGGUGCGAAAGCAGGUCAUAGUGAUCCGGUGGUUCUGAAUGGAAGGGCCAUCGCUCAACGGAUAAAAGGUACUCCGGGGAUAACAGGCUGAUACCGCCCAAGAGUUCAUAUCGACGGCGGUGUUUGGCACCUCGAUGUCGGCUCAUCACAUCCUGGGGCUGAAGUAGGUCCCAAGGGUAUGGCUGUUCGCCAUUUAAAGUGGUACGCGAGCUGGGUUUAGAACGUCGUGAGACAGUUCGGUCCCUAUCUGCCGUGGGCGCUGGAGAACUGAGGGGGGCUGCUCCUAGUACGAGAGGACCGGAGUGGACGCAUCACUGGUGUUCGGGUUGUCAUGCCAAUGGCACUGCCCGGUAGCUAAAUGCGGAAGAGAUAAGUGCUGAAAGCAUCUAAGCACGAAACUUGCCCCGAGAUGAGUUCUCCCUGACUCCUUGAGAGUCCUGAAGGAACGUUGAAGACGACGACGUUGAUAGGCCGGGUGUGUAAGCGCAGCGAUGCGUUGAGCUAACCGGUACUAAUGAACCGUGAGGCUUAACCUU